AAAAUCGGAAAUUUUCCGAAAAGCUUAUAUCCGAUCUGAUCCGUCCGAUUUCCACCCCUACCUAUGGCACAAAAAUUCGAAUUGCUGCCAAAAUCCUCACUCACUCACCAAAAUCUGUGAAACGACUAUAUUGUGUCGUUUCCUGGGUAAAUAAAAUAGGCGAUGAAGCUACAAAAUCAGUGUAAUUCUUGAAGCAAUGGACAACAAACCACUGAAUCGGAAAAUAAAGCGACGUCUGCUAGCAAGGGUACGAAAAGGAUUGUCAAAAAGAGAAAGAAAAAGGGUACAUGUGUUAGACAAUUUCGAUCAAAUAUUUGGGCAAUGUGGUCAUUCUUCAGAAACGUUCAUCUAAAGCAAGCACACCUCGAUUGCCUAAAACGAACGCCCUUCUACCAUUUAGUAUUACCAUUUGCAAAAACACAAGUACUUUCAUCCGCAGUAAGGUGGACACAAGAUGGUAGUAUACAACUACUAGUUACGUAUGACAAAAAAUGAGGUGCAUUCAAAAUAGCAGGCAAAGCUCUCAAUAUACAGCCAAACGAGUUUAACUUGAUAUUUGGAAUCAAAUCUGGAACAAGGGUGAAAUAUUCAAAGCGAAGUAGUAUUUCAUAGUCUCUAUUCGGAAGGAGGAGAUUCCAACGCUACACAAAGGUUUCGCCAAAUAUACUCAAAGAAGAGUUGAUGAAAAUUGUUGGAAGCAACAUUGAAGAGGAUAUUGAGGACACCGUGCGUAUAGUAAUAGUACAUAUAUUGUCCAUUCUUUUAUUUACAAAUUCUGGGGAUGUGGUCAGUGCGUGGAAAUUCAAGUUGUGCGACGACAUCGAUCAAUUAAAAGAGUACAAUUGGGGAAAACCCGUUCUUGAUUUGCUAAUGAAGUAUGUAAAAAACAAUGAAGCAGAAGCGGUGAAAGAUUGUGUACCUCUCUUUCUGUUCUGGAUGUGUGAACGAGUCAAUUAUGUCGAACCAUUACACCUAGACGCAUUUCUAAGAUUCAGAAAAUGGAGCUUGGAGACUUUUAAAGAAAAACUUGCUUGUACAACUAUAAAGGACAUCACCGACAAACAAGUAAUAGGCACCCCAUUGAAGAGACCGAUGUGGAACGUUCAUCGUUGAGUGGAAAUUAUGAAGAACAAGAUAUUAGUGACAACGAGCUGCAUGACAAUGAGGACGAGGAGAGUGACGAUUCAGAAGCAAGAAACGAGCCGCAUGACAGUGAAAGUGAAUCGGUUGAUGCAAAUAAUGUGAACGAUGAUUACCAUGACCAUGAUGCACCAGCUAGUCCCAUUGAGCAAUCUUCGGGGAGAAAGAAACCGAAAUAUGUUGACGAACAGAACGAUGAUUUGUUGACAUAGAACACAAUACUUGAGGCGAGGCUUGCAUGUGCUCUACAGGAGGCAAAAACAUGGCGAACAAAAGCAACCAAUAUUUCGGACCGCAACAAAGAGUUAGAGCAAAGAAUUAAAACCUCAACUGACCCACAGUUAGCUACAGAGUUCGAGGUUCUCUAAGUACGUCUGGAAUGUGUAGCGUUGGAAUCUCCUCCUUCCGAGUAGAGACUGUGGAAUACUACUUUGCUUUGUAUAUUUCACCCGUGUUCCAGAUUUGAUUCCAAAUAUCAAGUCAAACUCGUUUGGCUAUAUAUUGAGAGCUUUGCCUGCUAUUUCGAAUGCACCUCGUUUUUUAUCAUACGUAAGAAGUAGUUGUAUACUACCAUCUUGUGUCCCCCUAACUGCGGAUGAAAGUACUUGUUUUCCGUAAAUGGUAAUACUAAAUGGUAGAAGGGUGUUCGUUUUAGGCAAUCGAGGUGUGCUUGCUUUAGUUGAACGUUCCUGACGAAUGACCACGUUGCCCAAAGUUUUGAUCGAAACUGUCUAACCCAAGUAUAUUGAGGUUGUUUUCUAUACAUAAUGUUUAUAUCCCAAAAAACAUACCGCACGUAUGAUGUUUAUGAUACGUCCGAAUAGAACAAAACUUGUUAUAUUUGUCAACGGAAGCGAGUAUUCUCCAGCAACAUUGUUUUUCAUGUUUGUACUUACACAUCGUCGUCACCCUAUAUGACUCGUUCUUGAAAUACUUGUACUCAAACCCCAUUUCAAUUGAAAACUUAAUAAGCAUUUUUCUGAAAUCGGCAACAGGACCUU